CAAAGGCCUGGUCCUGACUUUAUUAUCAGCUUCAGCCAAACUUACACAUGCAAGAUCCGCCCCCCCGUGAGGAUGCCUUCG
rnacentral:rRNA from 1 species